ensembl:lncRNA
AUGAAGUUCUCCUGCCCUCUGAUCUGUGGCCUCAUUUUGUCCUGCAUUUGCUUCAGAGGUUCAUACGAGGAGCUGAGUGUGAUUCAGAGCCCAUCUAGUAUCACUGUGAAUGAAGGACAAUCUGAUCAAAUCAGCUGCUGCUGGAAUAAAACAAAAGAAGAAAACUAUGAUUUUAAAGUAGUUUGGUAUAAGGAUAAUGAAAGAAUAAUGGUAGAAAAGCGGCUAAAUCAAACGUCCCCUAUGAAAACCUGCUCCUUUCUGAAAAUCACAAAUAUAGGUAAAAAUGACACUGGAGAUUAUGUUUGUAAAGUGAUUCAGGACAUACCAGUUCUGCUAGAAUAUGAGGGACAAAAAACAUACCUGAAUGUCAGUAAAGGUGAACACAGUACUGAGGCAACAACUCAAAGUAAGAUUCUUCUUCCACACUCAUUCCACUCACACGUCUUUGUCAUUUCACAUAGCAUUAAGAUUCAUGUCAUUGGAUUUAAGAGAUCUAGCCAACCAUAUUCAGUGACACUGGAGAUUAUGUUUGUAAAGUGAUUCAGGACAUAACAGUUCUGCUAGAAUAUGAGGGACAAAAAACAUACCUGAAUGUCAUUCAGAUUCAGACAACAACUGAAGGUGAGACUGUUUCAUACUAAGUCAGAUAAUUCAAUGAAAAGCUCACAAUUUACAAAGACAUGCAGUGCAUCAUCACUUAAGCAAUUUCAGACAUAUUACUCAAAAAAAUGAAAAUCUUCUGAAAAUAUACUCACCCUCAGGCCAUCCAAGAUGUAAAUGAGUUUGUUUCUUUGCUGGGACAGAUUUGGAGAAAUUUUGCAAUACUGCACUUGUUCACCAAUAGAUCCUCUGCAGUGAAUGGGUGCCGUCAGAAUGAGAGUCCAAACAGCUGAUAAAAACAUCACAAGUAAACCACACCACUCCAGUCCA